AUUUAUUUAAUAUAACUAGUAUAUUUAAUUUCCAAUUAAAAAGUCUUUAUAUUAAGAAUAAAUA
rnacentral:tRNA from 1 species